CCGCUGAACUUAAGCAUAUCAAUAAGCGGAGGAAAAGAAACCAACAGGGAUUGCCCUAGUAACGGCGAGUGAAGCGGCAAUAGCUCAAAUUUGAAAGCUGGCCUUUGGUCCGCAUUGUAAUUUGUAGAGGAUGCUUUUAGGCAGCCGCCGGUCUAAGUUCCUUGGAACAGGACGUCAUAGAGGGUGAGAAUCCCGUAUGUGACCGGCUCUGGCACCUUCUGUAAAGCUCCUUCGACGAGUCGAGUUGUUUGGGAAUGCAGCUCUAAAUGGGAGGUAAAUUUCUUCUAAAGCUAAAUACCGGCGAGAGACCGAUAGCGCACAAGUAGAGUGAUCGAAAGAUGAAAAGCACUUUGGAAAGAGAGUUAAAAAGCACGUGAAAUUGUUGAAAGGGAAGCGCUUGCAAUCAGACUUGGACUUGGCUGUUCAACCGGUCUUCUGACCGGCCUACUCAGUCUUGUCCAGGCCAGCAUCAGUUUCGGCGGCCGGAUAAAGGCCUUGGGAAUGUGGCUGCCUCUUCGGGGGCAGUGUUAUAGCCCAGGGUGUAAUACGGCCAGCUGGGACUGAGGUCCGCGCUUCGGCUAGGAUGCUGGCGUAAUGGUUGUAAGCGGCCCGUCUUGAAACACGGACCAAGGAGUCUAACAUCUAUGCGAGUGUUAGGGUGUCAAACCCUUACGCGUAAUGAAAGUGAACGGAGGUGGGAACCCGCAAGGGUGCACCAUCGACCGAUCCUGAUGUCUUCGGAUGGAUUUGAGUAAGAGCAUAGCUGUUGGGACCCGAAAGAUGGUGAACUAUGCCUGAAUAGGGUGAAGCCAGAGGAAACUCUGGUGGAGGCUCGCAGCGGUUCUGACGUGCAAAUCGAUCGUCAAAUUUGGGUAUAGGGGCGAAAGACUAAUCGAACCAUCUAGUAGCUGGUUCCUGCCG
rnacentral:rRNA from 1 species